GACGAACGCUGGCGGCGUGCCUAAUACAUGCAAGUCGAGCGGACUUUCAAGAAGCUUGCUUUUUGAAAGUUAGCGGCGGACGGGUGAGUAACACGUGGGCAACCUGCCUGCAAGACGGGGAUAACUCCGGGAAACCGGGGCUAAUACCGGAUAAUAUCUUCCUUCGCAUGAAGGAAGGUUGAAAGGCGGCGCAAGCUGCCGCUUGCAGAUGGGCCCGCGGCGCAUUAGCUAGUUGGUGAGGUAACGGCUCACCAAGGCGACGAUGCGUAGCCGACCUGAGAGGGUGAUCGGCCACACUGGGACUGAGACACGGCCCAGACUCCUACGGGAGGCAGCAGUAGGGAAUCUUCCGCAAUGGACGAAAGGCUGACGGAGCAACGCCGCGUGAGCGAAGAAGGGCUUCGGAUCGUAAAGCUCUGUUGUCAGGGAAGAACAAGUACCGUUCGAACAGGGCGGUACCUUGACGGUACCUGACCAGAAAGCCACGGCUAACUACGUG
rnacentral:rRNA from 1 species